rnacentral:rRNA from 1 species
CCUACGGGAGGCAGCAGUGGGGAAUAUUGCACAAUGGGCGCAAGCCUGAUGCAGCCAUGCCGCGUGUAUGAAGAAGGCCUUCGGGUUGUAAAGUACUUUCAGCGGGGAGGAAGGGAGUAAAGUUAAUACCUUUGCUCAUUGACGUUACCCGCAGAAGAAGCACCGGCUAACUCUGUGCCAGCAGCCGCGGUAAU